rnacentral:rRNA from 1 species
UACGAAGGGGGCUAGCGUUGCUCGGAAUCACUGGGCGUAAAGGGUGCGUAGGCGGGUCUUUAAGUCAGGGGUGAAAUCCUGGAGCUCAACUCCAGAACUGCCUUUGAUACUGAGGAUCUUGAGUCCGGGAGAGGUGAGUGGAACUGCGAGUGUAGAGGUGAAAUUCGUAGAUAUUCGGAAGAACACCAGUGGCGAAGGCGGCUCACUGGCCCAUUACCGACGCUCAGGCGCGAUAGCGUGGGGAGCAAACAGG